CAACAGCAUCGACGGUACAACAUCGCGUGAGGGUCCCUCGUCAAACAGCAAACACAUCUACACCACCGGGGUAGCUGAGCGAAGUCUACGUCGAUCGGGCCGUCUAGCUAGUGCCAACCAGAAGAAGAGGAAGAAUUAAGCGAAACCAGUAGGGAUUGUACGCAGUGCGAUUUGCAGAACGCCACCUUUUUGUUUAAAACGACUUAAACAUAACAAUUAGUAGUUUUAAAACAUUGCGCUGAACGAUACUCCGUGUACGACCGAAGCGAGUGGUUCUAGACCGUGGUCGCGAGAACCACACAGCUACUUCGGUUCCGAGCAGAACCUGGCAAGUGUCCAAACGGCCAAGGAGGCCAAAAAGAUCCCCAGAACACGCGUAAGCAAUUAGGCUGGGCAAAACUGGUCGUCAUCGAACAUCGUUGUCGUGUUUAAUGAGCAAUCGGAUUAGCAUAGCAUAGCAUAGCAUUGGUGUCUACC